GUACUUAAGCAGCGCUGGUGCGCACGCUGAGCUCAUGAGCACGCCGGGCUCUUGCGCGCCUGGCCCAGGCUAUCUCAGGUGUACGUUCCCCAUCGCUCUCACCUGCCCAAGUCUCGGGGCCGCUGGCAUGACGCCGGGGAGAGCUCAGAGCGAGGAGGAGAUGGUAGAGACCACCCUCUACAUCUCCAACGGGAAGGCGCAUCUUACUACCCAGCAGAAAGAAGAAAAUCUCUCUGGGCCGGGACAGCCCAGGCACUGAGAAGCCUCCAUAUUUUGGACGCCCAGCUCCUCCAAUGGACUCCUCGGUUAUUACAGCCCCUCCAAACUACUCCUUUUCCCUAUAAUAGCCCGUUUGGCUGGUCUGUGCCUAAGCCCGUUUGCUUGUUUCUGUUUUGCUGCAACAUUAAUAAUAACAAUAUAAACACCUGUGGACUCAGCCCCCAGGUGUACAGGACUCAGUGGUCUCUGAGGAUGUGGCUGCGGACUUCACCUGGGCAGAGUGGGCUUUGCUAAGUCCUGUUCAGAGGAACUCUACAGAGAUGUGAGGCUUCGAACCUUCAGGAACUUGGCCUCAGCAGUGAGCUCCUGGGAGACGAAGACCUUAUUAAGGGUCACGGGUUACAGCCUGGAGAUAUUGGAAAAGACGUCAAAAAAGGGACUCUCUACAACCACGUUGGAAAGGACCAUACCAGCUACUCUUAACAAAUCCUGGGGGGGCAAAACUUAAAGGACUAAAUCUCUUGGAGUCACGUCUCUCACCUCAGAAGGGCCUCCCCUCCUGAAUGGACUGCAACCCCUAUCUGUGACACCCCACUUGCACUAAGAGAGGCUCCAUCAGACCAGGAUGAGAGGAACACAACAGCAGUGGUAGACAGCCAACCCAAGAGUCCAGACCAGACCUGUAAGAAACCGCCUCUCUCCAUCAAAAUGGAAAGUUACGGGACUUCCCUGGCGGCCCAGUGGUUAAGACACCCCGCUUUCCCUGCAGGGGGCACGGGUGCAGAAGUCAUGGGUUCCAUCCCUGAUCAGGGAACUAAGAUCCCGCAUGCCGCACGGCACAGCUAAAAAAUAGAAAAAGAAAUGGAAAGUUAUUGUUCUGUUUCUAGCUAUGUUCUUAGGCCAAUGUUUAGGGUGGAAAGAAAACUCUUUAGUAAAACUAUCACAAAGUAUAGGUACUCGGGGAGGUUAA